AGCUCAAUUGGUAAAGCACUUGUCUAGCGAAUAUGGGUCGUGAGUUCAAAUCUCAC
rnacentral:tRNA from 1 species